rnacentral:snRNA from 1 species
AUUCUUUCGCAGAGGCAAUAUUGUAGCUUAUGAGGUACAUCUGAGGCGCGAUUAUUGCUGGUUGAAAACUUUAGCCAAUACCUCACCAGGAUGACUUGAAAUACAGUCAGCCUUGGAAAUUUCUGCCUGCUUCUCUGGAAG